rnacentral:rRNA from 1 species
UACGAAGGGGGCUAGCGUUGCUCGGAAUCACUGGGCGUAAAGCGCACGUAGGCGGCUUUCUAAGUCAGGGGUGAAAUCCUGGAGCUCAACUCCAGAACUGCCCCUUGAUACUGGAAAGCUUGAGUUCGGGAGAGGUGAGUGGAACUGCGAGUGUAGAGGUGAAAUUCGUAGAUAUUCGCAAGAACACCAGUGGCGAAGGCGGCUCACUGGCCCGGUACUGACGCUGAGGUGCGAAAGCGUGGGGAGCAAACAGGG